GGUGGGGAGGGGCAGAGGGAAAAGGAAAGAGAAAGGCCAAGCAGAUUCCUUGCUGAAUGCAAAGCCGGUGCAGGGCUUGAUCUCAUGACCCUGAGAUCAGGACCUGAGCUGAAAACCAGAGUUGGACGCUUAACCAAAUGUGCCAACACAUUGUUUUUAAGAAAUAAUUCCUCUGUGAAAGAUGACCCAAUUGCCUCUGGAACAGUGUUUUUCUCACUUUUUAGAGUCAUGGAUCCUUUUGAAUAUUCAUUCAUUGAUUUAAUAAUUACUUAGCACCUACGGUGUGCUAAACAUUUUUCUAGGCACUCAGGGACAAUGCAGGGAUUGCUGCCCUUCUGGAGCUUAUAUUCUGAGGGUUGGGAUAGACAAUAAGCAAGAAAUAUACAAGUGAAUUAUCUAAUACGUAAGAAGUAUUACAUGCUUCAGAAAAAUUAAAAGAGUAGACAGUAAGGAGGUUAAGAGUGUUGGUGGGGGUGGGGAGGUACCUAAUUUAAAAUAAGGUGAUAGGAGUAGCCCUCGCUAAUAUGGUAAAAUUUGAGCAAGGAUGUGAAGAAGGUGAGGGAACUGGCUGCCUAGGUAUACGAGGGAAGAGACGUGGAAGCAGAGGGAACAGCCAAUGUCAAGGCCCCAAAGCAGAACAUACCUCGGGUGUUGCAAGGAGGACAGUGUGGCUGGAGCUGAGCCAGGCAGAGAGGAGUAGGAGAUGAUGGGGGAGCACAGGGCUUGCUGAGCACAAAGCAUGAGCCCAGGCAGCACAUUGACAAGUCCUUGAAACAGGCAAAGGAACAUUCCUCUACAGACUCAACUGCCUAAAUGUUAAUACUUUGCUAAGGGCAAAAGGCAAUCUUAGCCUGACCCCCAGGAUCCUAUAAGUCUACUUUAACAUAUAAAAAUUCCUUUAGAAAUUUCUUUUAUCUCUAAACCCCCAAGGUGCGUAUUGGCAAUCAUCCUCCAAGCACAUGGCCUACCGAUAUACACCUGAAGGGUCUUGUGAUUGAGGUUUUAUUAGAUGGUAAUAAGUGACCUUUUCCCAGCAAUAGCUAGCCCCCUCAAGGUCCUGGAAACCUUGCUUCCAAAAUUCUUUAGAGACCACCCUAUCCUCAAACCCCUUCCAACUCCCAGGUAUAUAAUCAGCCACCCCUCACAGGCCGGGGGGCAGCUGCUCUUCCUGCCCAUGGGCCCUAUCCCCAUGCUUUAAUAAAACUACCAUUUUGCACCAAAGGUGUCUCAAGAAUUCUUUCUUUGUUGUCGGCUCUGGACCUCACCUAUAUUCCAGUACUUCAUCAGGAGAUGAGAUCAGACAACCUGAGGAAAGCUAGCCAUCCUUUCUCUGGAACAGUGAUUCCCAAACUUUGGCAUGCAUCAAGGCUUGGGAAAACACCGGCUCCUGUGGGCGCACACCCAGACCGUCUAACAUUUCUAAUAAAUUUCCAGGUGAUGUUGAUACUGCUGGUGUGGGAAACAUGCCUUGAGAACGUCUCUCCUAGAAUACAGUUACCCUAUUUUAAACAUGUUUUAAUAGUGUUCCUGGGCUCCUAAAGUCUGCCUGAAAUCACAGCUUGGGAAUCCUGACCCUACGGAACUUUGGACUGGAUCGCUCACCCACAGAUCACCCUGAAGCCCUGCAUCAGUCUCAUCUUUCCAACCAGGUGAAGCACAUGUUUGACCCCCAGCUCAAGUUAGGGUAAAAAAACUUCUGAUAAGGUUUCCGAUUUAAUUUCUCAGCCACAGUGGUAUCUCUUUAGCCUUGCCAUAAUCACACUUUAUUUUAUUUACUGAACCAGAAUUUGUGGAGUGCUUUGUUACAAACACAAAUUUGGGCCUCUUAAAGAUAAUGUUAAGAAGCACUAAAAGCCUUUCUAUAGGGUACAAAAUUGGCUUGAUUUAAUACCUUCUGAAAUAGUAUAGGGCUCUGUUUGUGUCUCAAGAGAGGAAGAUUAAAGACUAGAGUGCCAUAGUGUAUCCUCCUCAGGAUAGCACCCUGAAGUUAAGGAAAAAGAGGCAAGAAAUCCUCUAGACUUCUAAAUAAUAAAAGAUUUUUGUGACUGUUUUUUUUAAUUAAAUUAAUUAAUUAAUUAAUUAAUUUGCGACUGUUUUUAAAGAGAAGCUGAAGUAUCGUUCAAAAAACCGAAAUGACCUGACAGUGUUUGUUGCAAAGAGAUAAGGAGGAGAAUAUCAAGCAGAAAACAGGAAAAUGUGAAAGCUAGAAUCAGAUAAUUUAAUCAUUGGAAGAUGAAGUCUGAAUUACAUGUAACCUACUUUGUAUUUACUUGGUUUUGCAAAUUACAUGGGAGUUUGAUCUAUAGGCUGGGCUUGGGCAAGUAUGCAUCACUAGGACACCUUAGAAAAGAGGGACUCAGCAAGAGAAUAAAGAAGCAAUUGGCAUGUUAGGAAUGCAAAUAACUAGGACACAGACAUGCUCUGACGGGUGAGCAAGGACAACUGGGGGAUGAUUAAAAACAUGCAGGAAACUAAUGUGAUCAUUUCCUUAUGACAAACACUCACUGUUCCUACCAUGGAGAAGCCUAUGCAGUUGAAAGCAUUCAUUGACUCAGAGAUGCUGAUUUCUGAGUACAACUGAUUAAGGAAUACCAGGCCUUAGGGAGAUUUAAAUUAUAAAGCAGCGUCUCAUAUUUUGGAGCAAUUACCAAGGUAUUUUCAGAUACGUGUGUUUCUCUUCAUCUCUUUCUGCUUUGUUACACUUUGGGUUCAGAGACAAUACCCCUUUUCCAAUGGAAGUCAAAGGAACAAUAUGCUAUCCAUUUCAGCUAAGCCCACCUCUCAAAUAAGUGCCCAUAAUGUAUACUGAUAUUCUACUUAUCAAAAGAAAUCAUGGAGCACUACUUUUUAAUUAUUAAUCUUUUGUGAAUGUUUUACCACAGGAAUAUCAAUUCCAAAUGAAAGAGUUAUUCCAUCAAUUGGACUACUUUGUCGAUUUGAAAUAUUCACCUGUAGAAAGUCAGUUUGGUGACUGGCAAAAGUUGCUUGAUGUGGGGCUAUGGUGUGCCCGUUAGACUUUUCCAAGGCUGUGUGACCUUAGGAAAAUCACUUACACUCCUUGGAAAGUCUGCAUAACGAUUCUAGUUAAAGGGUUGUUGGAGGUAAAUGUUGGCUUGUGUAAAUGUGUUUCAAAUCCUCAAAUGCUACACAAAUGUUUGAUAUUUGUAUUAUCUAUAUAUGAAGAUCACAAUUUACACAGUUUUGCAGAGAUGUUGCUGAAGGACACACAGCUUUUAAAUAAGCUGACUGUUUACACAUCAAUAAAUUAUUGCAUUAGGAGUAAAACUGAAUUAACCAGUUGGAUAGUGUGCUUACUGACUAAAACUGAACAAUUACCAACUGUAUUAAUUAAUGCUCAUUUGCAUUUAGUGAGCUGUCCUGAAUGAAAAUUAGUUCCCAUGAGUUAAGAAUGAUGGCUGUGAACUUUGAGAGUAUGUUUUUCCCUUAAAAAAAUGUGUGCUAUAUGGGGAUCCUUGGGUUUAUCUUCAGUGGUUUAGCACCUGCCUUCAGCCCAGGGCGUGAUCUUGGAGUCCCAGGAUCGAGUGCAGCAUCAGGCUCCCUGCAUGGAGCCUGCUUCUCCCUCUGCCUGUAUCUCUGCUUCUCUCUCUCUCUCUCUCUCUGUGUCUCUCAUGAAUAAAUAAUGAAAUAAAAUCUUUAAGAAAAAAUGUGUGCUAUAUAUAUUAUAUAUAUAUUUUACCAUGUAGCCCUGACCAUCUCAAUCCUAUUAUAUGUUGACACAGGUAAUUCAGACACAGGGUUCCACUUAAAUUACCAUAUGAUUAAUCUUCAGAGCACAACUAUAAAUAGAAUCCUUAGUUCUGAAUUUACAAAUUGUUCUUAUUUGGUCAUAUUACAAAAUUAUCUAGAUAAUCUAGGUAGUUGAAGCUGUCUAGAUAGUUGACUAAAUCUGGGCUUUGCAUCUGGAUUUUAACUUUACAAUUCAUAUUCAAAGUAUCUAAAAAUUGGAAGGCUAAGUGUUACAUAAAUAUGAUCCAUAAUUCAGUUUUAAUUCAUCUUCAUUACACUUGUGAAGAUUUUGUAUAGGGAGAAAACCCCUCAACUCCCCAGUUAGUAUUUUUCAUAUAAAAUAAAUUCAUCAAAAAGAAAAGGAAUAAUGACCCCAAGAGGGUGGAAGUCUGGGCUCCUCCCUCAUUCUUUGAUGGUAUGGGUGGGCAUGGGGCUAUAGAUUUUUCAGUAGGGUCAGGCUAAGGUAGAGGGGUUAUUAUAUUACAUGUUUCUGUCUUACAAAGUUGCCCUUGCAAUUCCCUUGGCUAAAGAGAGCCAGCCUUUGUUGAGCUUUUGCACCCACUCAGUGUUCCUGGUUGCCUGUUUGUUCAGCACCAAGUUUGGGACAUAUGAGGCAAAAAGAAAAUGUGGGAAAUGCAGUUGUGUUGUUCCAUUCUGUGGGUCCUGAGGUCUCAGGCCUCUCUGCCUUCGUUUCUCCUCCUUUCAAUGCCUUCUUAUGUUUGUUGUAUGUAUAAUGUUUAGGAUUUCUAGUUGCACUUACAGACAGGAUUAGGGAUAAGUAUGUCAGCUGCAUAGUCCCUAAAGCAGAGGUCCUCCCUCUGAUAAUUUUUAAUAUUUAUCUACAAAAAAGUGCUACAACAUUGCUUAGUACUUAACAUGAAUUGUAAAAUGAAGGUAGUAAAGAGCAAUGAGGCAUACUCGAUAGCAGGCUUUUAGGGCAGUAGGCUGAAGUUCUAAAAACAACAGCAACAACAAUAACAACAACAAACCAGGUUUUCAGAAUUCCCUGCCAUCUUUUCCAUGAAAUGCUGCACGGAUGCUAAUUUGGUUCACAUUUCCGAGAAGUACCAAAGAUCACGGGAAGUGCUUAAGAGGGAGUUCUGGCUUCAGUUCUCUUCCUACCACUAAUUUUAAUUCUGGAAAAGAAAACCAUCUCUUUGAGAGGUUCAAACUAACCCUAAGCCAUUGAUAGAUGAAGCCAUAUGGAGAUCACUGGGCACUUACAACUAUGUCUUAUCCUCUUCAUAAGGUGGCCAAAUUCUGCUGCUCUCAGGAGAGUGUUGAAGAAACCCAUUUGUUGAGGCUCUGACCUGACCAAACUGAAAUUCCAUGGAAGUGAGCAUCUUUACUUUAGUCUUAUUUUAUUAUUAUUUUUUGUUGAAAAUAUUUGAUAGCAUUUAUGGGACUUUCUGUAUUUCAU
rnacentral:lncRNA from 1 species